AUUGAACGCUGGCGGCAGGCCUAACACAUGCAAGUCGAGCGGAUGAAGGGAGCUUGCUCCUGGCUUCAGCGGCGGACGGGUGAGUAAUGCCUAGGAAUCUGCCUGGUCGUGGGGGCUAACGUCCGGACACGGGCGCUAAUCCCGCAUCCGUCCUGAGGGAGAAAGUGGGGGAUCUUCGGACCUCACGCUAUCAGAUGAGCCUAGGUUGGAUUAGCUAGUUGGUGGGGUAAAGGCCUACCAAGGCGACGAUCCGUAACUGGUCUGAGAGGCUGAUCAGUCACACUGGAACUGAGACACGGUCCAGACUCCUACGGGAGGCAGCAGUGGGGAAUAUUGGACAAUGGGCGAAAGCCUGAUCCAGCCAUGCCGCGUGAGUGAAGAAGGUCUUCGGAUUGUAAAGCACUUUUAGUUGGGAGGAAGGGCAGUAAGAUAAUACCUUGCUGUUUUGACGGUACCAACAGAAUAAGCACCGGCUAACUUCGUG
rnacentral:rRNA from 1 species